GACGAACGCUGGCGGCGUGCUUAACACAUGCAAGUCGAACGGAAAGGCCCUGCUUUUGUGGGGUGCUCGAGUGGCGAACGGGUGAGUAACACGUGAGUAACCUGCCCUUGACUUUGGGAUAACUUCAGGAAACUGGGGCUAAUACCGGAUAGGAGCUCCUGCUGCAUGGUGGGGGUUGGAAAGUUUCGGCGGUUGGGGAUGGACUCGCGGCUUAUCAGCUUGUUGGUGGGGUAGUGGCUUGCCAAGGCUUUGACGGGUAGCCGGCCUGAGAGGGUGACCGGCCACAUUGGGACUGAGAUACGGCCCAGACUCCUACGGGAGGCAGCAGUGGGGAAUAUUGCACAAUGGGCGGAAGCCUGAUGCAGCAACGCCGCGUGCGGGAUGACGGCCUUCGGGUUGUAAACCGCUUUCGCCUGUGACGAGGCGUGAGUGACGGUAAUGGGUAAAGAAGCACCGGCUAACUACGUG
rnacentral:rRNA from 1 species